UACGAAGGGUGCAAGCGUUAUUCGGAGUUACUGGGCGUAAAGAGCGCGUAGGCGGUCUUUUAAGUCAUUUGUUAAAUCUCCCGGCUUAACCGGGAACAUGCAGGUGAAACUGGAAGACUAGAGUAUGAUAGAGGUAAGUGGAACUCCGAGUGUAGAGGUGAAAUUCGUAGAUAUUCGGAAGAACACCAGUGGCGAAGGCGACUUACUGGAUCAUGACUGACGCUGAGGCUCGAAAGCGUGGGGAGCAAACAGG
rnacentral:rRNA from 1 species